GACAGAGGUGCCAAGCGUUAGGCGGAAUCACUGGGCUUAAAGCGUGUGUAGGUGGAUUUGUAAGUACCUUGUGAAAUCCCAUGGCUCAACCAUGGAACUGCUCGGUAUACUGCGAAUCUUGAGCCACUUAGGGGCUACCGGAACAAAUGGUGGAGCGGUGAAAUGCGUAGAUAUCAUUUGGAACGCCAAUGGUGAAAACAGGUAGCUGGGAGUGUGCUGACACUGAGACACGAAAGCCAAGGGAGCGAACGGG
rnacentral:rRNA from 1 species